UACAGAGGUCCCAAGCGUUGUUCGGAUUCACUGGGCGUAAAGGGUGCGUAGGUGGCUUGGUGAGUUUGAUGUGAAAUCUCCGGGCUUAACCCGGAAAUGGCAUUGAAUACUAUUGAGCUGGAGGUUUGGAGGGGGGACUGGAAUUCUCGGUGUAGCAGUGAAAUGCGUAGAUAUCGAGAGGAACACCAGUGGCGAAGGCGAGUCCCUGGACAACACCUGACACUGAGGCACGAAAGCUAGGGGAGCAAACAGG
rnacentral:rRNA from 1 species